GAUGAACGCUGGCGGCGUGCCUAAUACAUGCAAGUCGAGCGAACGGACGAGAAGCUUGCUUUUCUGAUGUUAGCGGCGGACGGGUGAGUAACACGUGGAUAACCUACCUAUAAGACUGGGAUAACUUCGGGAAACCGGCGCUAAUACCGGAUAAUAUUUUGAACCGCAUGGUUCAAAAGUGAAAGACGGUCUUGCUGUCACUUAUAGAUGGUUCCGCGCUGCAUUAGCUAGUUGGUAAGGUAACGGCUUACCAAGGCAACGAUGCAUAGCCGACCUGAGAGGGUGAUCGGCCACACUGGAACUGAGACACGGUCCAGACUCCUACGGGAGGCAGCAGUAGGGAAUCGUCCGCAAUGGGCGAAAGCCUGACGGAGCAACGCCGCGUGAGUGAUGAAGGUCUUCGGAUCGUAAAACUCUGUUAUUAGGGAAAAACAUAUUUGUAAGUAACUGUGCACAUCGUGACGGUACCUAAUCAGAAAGCCACGGCUAACUACGUG
rnacentral:rRNA from 1 species